rnacentral:lncRNA from 1 species
AUGUGACUGGCAGAGUGAACACACUGGUGCCCUAUACAUGUCAGCUUUUUGUCCUCAAACCAUCUUUAACCAGUUGCAGCGGCCAGCUAAUGUUUCAACAUUAUUUUUAGAAUGUCAAACUCUGAUCAUCACAUGGACAACAGAUAUUUUCAGCUGAAGGAUGCAUGCUUAAUGUCAAAAUGUUGUGUGCAUGCUAGAGCUUUACUCUGUAUUUCUCUCCGUUGGAUUAUUUAAUAAUCAAUUUGAGUAAAGUUUCACUUUAAUACUCCUAGAAAUUAGAGGAAAAUAUUGCUUACAUUCAUUUGCUGUGUUACACAGACACAGUACACAGCCAAGGUAAAAGAUAAAAGAUCAAUUCCUAUGGAUCUCAGAGUUUCAAGCUUUUAAAGCUGUGUUAUAGAAACUUUGUAAUUAUUGUGGGUAAUCUUGCAGAAAAUUAAAUGUUGAGUUUGCAUAUGUGAAGAAGUUUGGACUGUUUGGCUCACCAUAGCUUGUUAGUGCUCAGCAUUUCACCAUCCCCAUCAGGCUUUGGGUUUCAGUUCACUGCUAGUAAAAUGCUAUUUGUAGCAUGAGUGAAAUCCCCAGCAGGGCCCGCAGAAUUAUCCAACCCACAAUGUCAACCCUGUUGCGAUGGAGAAGCUUUGCGCUUCCAAGAUUUAAAAGGUAAGGGAGAAAGUAGGUAGCUUAAAUAUAUUCAGAUUUAAAAAAAAAAAACGUGGAUGAUUUCCUGGUUAGAAUUUUCCCCAUGGGAUGUGGAAUAAAGGUGAAAAAGACAAACAAGUCAUAUAUUUAACGAGUCAUAUAUUUGCUGUAAAAAAUAAUGGGAGUAGAAUAUGCAUGUGGUGGCCAUUGAGCUACAUAGGGCAGCCACCAUCCCAACAAUAUCAAUUGCAAUGACUUAUGUAGAGUUUACUGUGUAUCAGGUACUUAUGUAGAGCUUACUGCACACCAGGAACUGCCAGUUCUGGCUAUCCAAGGAUUCAGUUAAUCCUUAAUGCAGCUCCACUGAGGAUGUACCACGCCUGUGCCCUUCAGUACUCAGACACUUCCGGGCUCAAGUCGGUCGGAACAAGGUGAGCUUCUGGCAGGAAGUGUAAGGAACAGAGCAAUGGCUGCAGGGACAACAAUACAUUUGGAAAGAAGGCUUUAUUGUUCUCAAUGCCCCCAGUUGCUCAAGCUUUCAUUCUACGGUGCUGUUGUUGCCAAAGUGCUUCUCUGGGAAACUAGGAUUGCCAUCAUAAAGCAGGUUUAUAUUAGCUUCUAGUGGGAGGAAAAGGAAAAGGUUUUAUAACACACUGCUUGCCAGUUCUUCACCUGGUUCCACGCCUGUCUUUUCCUCUCCAAUAGCCAUCCUCAACCAAACGGGUCUUCAGGUUGUAUGUAAAUGCCGAAGAAAGGAGUGUCCCCUGCAGCUCAGCCUUGUAACUUAGGAGGUGGGUGCUCACAUGAGUGGCCGUCACUUUCUCUCUGGCUGCUGUCUGUCUCAUCUCCAGAGUUUGCAGUGGGAAUAUGAGCUCCCUCUUUAAAAUGCCAUCACCGGGAUGGAUUUGAUCCUCUCAAAUCUCAUGUUUCAAAGAAAAAUAGGUAAAAUUUCUCUAGGUGAGCCUCAUGGGAGGUUCUCUAAGAACACACUGAACAAUGGAAUUUUCCCUUGGAAAUGCCACAUGGAAAGUCAUAUUCGCAGAGGGGAUUUGUGGGGGAAUUGGGAAGUUAGCUAGAUUUGCUGCUUUCAUACCUUCUAGGGGGUUCUGAGGCCAGGGAAUUAAGUUUGUCGUAGCUGGAAUCUUACUUUGCCAAAGUGUGGCCUAUUGUAUUAAACCUCAGUUGCCAUGAAAAAACCGGAAAGGAAGCUAUAGCACAAAUAACUAAAGAUAUGUCAGUGUUCUGAGCAUCAGUAUUUGUGGGGCACUAAAUACUGUUUAUCUUUCUAGUAGCAGUUGGACACCUCUGCAUUUUUCUUACUAUACAAUGCCUUCCUGUUGGUACUGGAGUUGGGGAAGAGAGGCACUCUAGUGCUUGAGGUCUUCAGUGUCAUGCUUUCUUCUUUCUUCCUGACAACCCCAAGUAGCACACGGUAAGAGUAUAUUCAAGUUGGAGAAGACUGGCAUGCUUGGGGUAGAGAGUUGGAAAGAAAGAAGGCCAAUCCCCCUGUUGCUGAUCCCCUUCUGUUUCAAAGAACAGUCACCAUUCAUUUGUUCAGAGCAGGCUUCUCUGUGCCUCCAGGCUGAUUCUUCCACGCAACUCAUAGUCUGUUUGUUCAAGUUCCCCUAACACGUAUAAGGAAUGCCCGCGAUUUGGAGAACUUCUCCUCUUCCUCUGCCCAUGGGAGCCGCUGCCCUUUCCCAAGCUCCUGGCCACUCUUCUGUGGAGGAAAGGCCUGGGUCCGUCUGAAAUGCAGGCCCGGAUCAGGAGAGUCUGUAGCUCCUUAGAGACGUCUGCCUGCGCUGGUCUGUGGUUCAUUGCUGGGACCAUCUGGGUUCUGCACCUGACUUUGCCGUUGACUUAUUAGCUUGUGACCUUGAGGCAAAUUACCAUUGCUGGAGUUCCCUUCAUGGCUCAGCGGUUGAUGUACCUGACUAGGAUCCAUGAGGAUGCGGGUUCGAUCCCUGGCCUCGCUAUGAGCUGUGGUGUAGGUCGCAGAUGAGACUCAGAUCCCACAUGGCUGCAGAUAUGGUGCAGGCCGGCAGCUGUAGCUCCGAUUAGACCCCUAGCCUGGGAACCUCCAUAUGCCAGGGGUG